rnacentral:rRNA from 1 species
NNNNNGUUAAAAAGCUCGUAGUUGGAUUUUGGGUGGGAGGGGUUGGUCCGCUCUUCCGGGCGUGUACCGGCCCUUUCGCCCUUCUUGCCGGGUAUGUGUUCCUUGCCUUUAUUGGCUGGGAUCCAGAGCCGGCGUUGUUACUUUGAAAAAAUUAGAGUGUUCAAAGCAGGUCUGUGCUCUAAACAUAUUAGCAUGGAAUAACGCGAUAGGACUCUGGUCCUAUUUCGUUGGUCUUCGGGAUUGGAGUAAUGAUUAAUAGAGACGGUUGGGGGCAWUCGUAUUCCAUUGUCAGAGGUGAAAUUCUUGGAUUUAUGGAUGACGAACUUCUGYGAAAGCAUUUGCCAAGGACGUUCUCAUUAAUCAAGAACGAAAGUUGGGGGAUCGAAGAUGAUCAGAUACCGUCCUAGUCUCAACCAUAAACGAUGCCGAUUAGGGAUUGGCGGAUGUCUAUUGGAUGACUCUGCCAGCACCUUGUGAAAAAUCAAAGUUUAUGGGUUCCGGGAGAGUAUGGUCGCAAGGCUGAAACUUAAAGGAAUUGACGGAARGGCACCACCAGGCGUGGAGCCUGCGGCUUAAUUUGACUCAACACGGGGAAACUCACCAGGUCCAGACAUAGCAAGGAUUGACAGAUUGAGAGCUCUUUCUUGAUUCUAUCGGUGGUGGUGCAUGGCCGUUCUUAGUUGGUGGAGUGAUUUGUCUGGUUAAUUCCGUUAACGGACGAGACCUCAGCCUGCUAAAUAGCUACGCGGGAACCUUUCCUCGUGGCCAGCUUCUUAGAGGGACUGUUGGACGACAAGCCAACGGAAGUUUGAGGCAAUAACAGGUAUGUGAUGCCCUGAGAUGUUCUGGGCUGCACGCGCGCUACACUGAUGAAUCCAACGAGUCGCUUGCCUGGGUCGAAAGGCCCGGGUAACCUUCUUAAGGUUCAUCGUGACGGGGAUAGAUUGUUGUAAUUAUCGAUCUUGAACGAGGAAUGCCUAGUAAGCGCGAGUCAUCAGCUCGCGCUGAUUAUGUCCCUGCCCUUUGUACACACCACCCGUCGCUCCUACCGAUUGAAUGGUCCAAUGAAGUGUCUGGAUUGUGGUGAUCUCGGCGGUUUGCCGCUGGGGGUGCUGUGAGAAGUUCAUUGAACCUUAUCAUUUAGAGGAAGGAGAAGUCGUUACAAGGUUUCCGUAGGUGAACCUGCGGAAG